GACGAACGCUGGCGGCGUGCCUAAUACAUGCAAGUCGGGCAGACAGAAGGGAGCUUGCUCCCGGAAGUUAGCGGCGGACGGGUGAGUAACACGUGGGCAACCUACCCUGUAGAUCGGGAUAACAUCGAGAAGUCGGUGCUAAUACCGGAUAAUCAUUUGAAGUGCAUGCUUCGAAUGUAAAAGAUGGCUCCGGCUAUCACUACGGGAUGGGCCCGCGGCGCAUUAGCUAGUUGGUAAGGUAAUGACUUAGCAAGGCAACGAUGCGUAGCCGACCUGAGAGGGUGAUCGGCCACACGGGGACUGAGACACGGCCCAGACUCCUACGGGAGGCAGCAGUAGGGAAUCUUCCGCAAUGGACGAAAGUCUGACGGAGCAACGCCGCGUGAGUGAUGAAGGUUUUCGGAUCGUAAAGCUCUGUUGUUAGGGAAGAACAAGUGCCGUUUGAAUAAGGCGGCACCUUGACGGUACCUAACCAGAAAGCCACGGCUAACUACGUGCCAGCCGCCGCGGUAACAC
rnacentral:rRNA from 1 species